GCUGGGUGUGGUGACGCCCACCUGUAGUCCCAGCUACUGGGGAGGCUGAGGUGGGAGGAUCACUUGAACCCAGGAGUUUGAGGCUGCAGUGAGCUGUGAUGGAGCCACUGCACUCUAGCCUGGGUGCCAGAUUGGGAUGCUGUCUUUA
rnacentral:SRP_RNA from 2 species